GCCGAUUUCGUUCGCCAUUGCCGCGGCCGAGGCCGCCGGAAGACUACCUCAGCGAUCUCCCCAGUCCUCUUCUUCCUCCUCACCCGCGACUCCCUCCGCACCUCCGCCCUCGCUUGCCGAUGGCGUCGUGUCGCAUUCCGACUAUUUCAAGCGGACCUCUAGGUUACCAGCUGGCGUCGACUCGUUGCUACUCUUGCUCUAUCGGGCGUCUUCGACUCGCCUCCGACUGCAGGUUGAUUCGUCCCCGACGUGGAUCGCCGCUGCAACUGGAUCGACUACGGUCCCACUCCGGAGUCUGUCCAUUUGGCCAUCGCUCGUGGCAGUCAGUCCCCGACCUUCCUCAGUCAAUACACUUUCACUCAUGAUUUCGAAGGAGUGGUUGGCAAGGCUGUUCUCUUGCUCGCCUGAUUUGGAAAAUUAACAUUAAACUCAGGAUUUCGGUUGAUCAAUAUCAGAAACUCGGACGUUUAAAGCUGAAAUCCGAUGUUCGUCUGGAACAGUUGUAUGUUGGCCUCUGUUCAGUUGCAGAGCCUUUUGGAACACUAUCUUCAUUACUUGUCUCUUUAUAGCAAGUUAUAGCUUAUGCUUACUCCAGAAAGUUUACCAGUUCUUUACAAAUUGUUGAAGUUGGAGAUCCAUCCACUUCUGGUCACAAUUCCAACAGUUUGGAAGUGCUAUUUUCUCUUCUUCAGUGCACACCGAAUAUAUUUUCACUCAUUUUAAUUGAAAAUGGACAGGCGUGAGAUCAGUCAUCAUAUGUACAUUGAUUUUGAAGCAAUGACAAUAUUUUGAUUUGAUUUGAUUUGAUUUAUCUCUUCUUAUGAUUUAAAUUUCAGGGACCAUAUGGAAGAGAAAUCAAUUAGUGGAGGAAUUUAUUGAAUAUUGUGCCCAUCAAAGGUUUAGAUCAUCUUAAGAAAAGUUUCUGCUAGAAACAAAACUACAAGAAUUCAAUCAGCCAUUUUGGAGAUAUUAUUGGAGAGAGUUCAAGCAUGGGAUGAAGUAGUGGUGACUACACAUAGGGAUGGGUUUGCCCAUAUAUAUAUAUAUAUAACAUUUGAAGCUUUGUCAUACUAGCAGAUUAUAUACUGUAUAUAAAAGCACAUGAACUGUGAUGUUAUCAACAUUGCACAUAAUGUUUUAUGAACUUAGCUCAUGCUUUCCAUUUGGUGCCAUUGUAUGGCAUCUAAUGGUGUAAGGCUGUUUGGGAUUGAGUAAAAGGGCCUCUUGAUUUUUUUUCAUGGGCGCCGUCAAGUGUCAUGAAUUCCAAUGUUGUUCUGGCCCCUGAAAAUGUGUAGGAGAGUAUUCUUAAGAAAGGGAUUAAAAUCUCUCAGAGGAAUGGGUGUGUCAACUACAGCCUCCUCUGCAAUAUAUUCAACAGGGUCGCUACUACUGGGAUGUUGUAGCAUAGUUCAACUAUAGGGCCAUCUGAUUCAAUCAGUGCUAUCUGCUGUUCAAGUUUUUAUCUAAUUUAGUUGCCCUUUCGAGAGGAUGUGCAGUGAAAGGAGACUUUGGCGUCAAGCUUUCUGCUUAAUUAUCAGCGGACGAGUGAUCUAUCUGCCGAGGUUAAAGGAUUACAGAUGCAGCAUUCCUUUUGUGUUCUGAAAGGACACAAUAGGAUUGUUACAGUUAAGUCGUAUGCAAUAGAUUUGUUACAAUUCAGGUGUGCUAUAUUUGUGUGAUGUUUGUGUUGCGUGUGUUUGCAAGAUUGUUAAUUGCAGUUGGACACUGAUAACUGCAAGUUUAUAAUAGAGAAAAAUGUGGAUUAGCUCAUGGAAUGCCCUUCGAAGUUGUUCACUAUUGUUGCUAAGGUUGGCUUGUGCUGGUGGAGAACCUAAACAAUUGUAUCACUUGUUCGGGAUGAAGACAAGUACAUUAUUGGAAAGAACUCGAGCAUCACCAAGGUACAUUCUUAAAUCAACUUAAGCAUGUUGGGUUCAUAAUCUCCAUUACUCUUCUUGCUCCAUCUUCAUCUGCAAAAUUAUAUUGUUUACACCUCCUCUCACAUGGUUAAAGUCAAAGGCAUUUCAUAAUUUAGAAUAAUUAAUCAUCUUUGAUUCAUAAAAAUUACAGAGAAAAAAGAAGAAGAUUCUUAAAUGGAUCUCCUUAUCCUAUAGCUGGAGCCUUUGAUCAUUGAACUUGGCCUUGUCUCUCUUACUAAUCGACAUCAAUCAUAUUUAAGAUAUUCUCUUUUGUGAUUAUCUUAAAAUUUAAUCGUGUCAUGUCUUAGUUACUAUACUUAAUUCGUGGUCAUAACUUCUAAUUGCAUCCCUAACAAUUGGAUAUUGAAUUGUCACCAUCUGCAUUAUAUAUAAAGCUAUUUCAGAUUUAUUUUGACAACUCUUUAUUACCUCGAGAUAUUUAUUUCUUUAAUAAAAAGUUUGUCAUAUUUUUGGAGACCCCUCCAGUAGUUGUCAGAUGAUGAAGCCAAGACGUAGACGCUGCAUGCCUUUGUCUUCGUAUAAUUGCAUUACGUUGACUGCUGAAAUAUGAAAAAUUCGUACAAAAUUCCAAAUACAAAACAAAAAAAUCUACUCCAACUACUCAACAAGGUAGAAUCACAGUGAAAAUAAAAUAAAUAAAUAAAAUAAACAAACUAACAAAAGAGCCUCAUGCACGUUCUCUUCCAAAUUAUUCAUCAACAGCUCAAGUAUAUAUGACUCCUUAUGUACACAAACUCACAGGCCCUAAAAAUUACCAAUCUUUCUUCUUCUUUUGUCUUUUUUUUUCCCCCUCUCUUAAUCCUUCAAUAGUAAUAAUUAUUAUUAUUAUUAUUAUUCAUUUUGGAUGCCAAGAAUUCAAGCAUCUAAUGGUGCCAUUGAGGUACUCUGACCACUUGAGGUCCUCUGGCUCACCUUCAAUGUGGAUUUCAGCUCCUUUGUUUGGAAGCAGCAACUGAUCUGA